GUAGGGGACAAGCGUUAUCCGGAUUUACUGGGCGUAAAGCGCCCGUAGGCGGCCCGACAAGUUGGACGUGAAAGCUCCCGGCUUAACUGGGAGAGGCCGUUCAAAACUGUGGGGCUCGAGUGAGGCAGAGGAGCGCGGAAUUCCCGGUGUAGUGGUGGAAUGCGUAGAUAUCGGGAGGAACACCAGUGGCGAAAGCGGCGCUCUGGGCCUAAACUGACGCUGAGGGGCGAAAGCGUGGGGAGCGAACGGGAUUAGAUACCCCGGUAGUCCACGCCGUAAACGAUGGAGACUAGGUGUAGGCGGAUAGAACCCCGUCUGUGCCGAAGCCAACGCGUUAAGUCUCCCGCCUGGGGAGUACGGCCGCAAGGUUAAA
rnacentral:rRNA from 1 species